GACGAACGCUGGCGGCGUGCUUAACACAUGCAAGUCGAACGGAAAGGCCCUGCUUUUGUGGGGUGCUCGAGUGGCGAACGGGUGAGUAACACGUGUGUAACCUGCCCUUGACUUUGGGAUAACUUCAGGAAACUGGGGCUAAUACCGGAUAGGAGCUCCUGCUGCAUGGUGGGGGUUGGAAAGUUUCGGCGGUUGGGGAUGGACUCGCGGCUUAUCAGCUUGUUGGUGGGGUAGUGGCUUACCAAGGCUUUGACGGGUAGCCGGCCUGAGAGGGUGACCGGCCACAUGGGUCCUGAGAUACGGACCAGACUCGUACGGGAGGCAGCAGUGGGAAAUAUUACACAAUGAGCGGAAGCCUGAUGCAACAACGCCGCGUGCGGGAUGACGGCCUUCGGGUGAAAAACCGCUUUCGCCUGUGACGAAGCGUGAGUGACGGUAAUGAGUAAAGAAGCAACGGCUAACUACGUG
rnacentral:rRNA from 1 species